CGGACGGGUGAGUAAUGUCUGGGAAACUGCCUGAUGGAGGGGGAUAACUACUGGAAACGGUAGCUAAUACCGCAUAACGUCGCAAGACCAAAGAGGGGGACCUUCGGGCCUCUUGCCAUCGGAUGUGCCCAGAUGGGAUUAGCUAGUAGGUGGGGUAACGGCUCACCUAGGCGCGAUCCCUAGCUGGUCUGAGAGGAUGACCAGCCACACUGGAACUGAGACACGGUCCAG
rnacentral:rRNA from 1 species